rnacentral:rRNA from 1 species
AGGAUCAUUAACGUGU